AGUGAACGCUGGCGGUAGGCCUAACACAUGCAAGUCGAACGGCAGCACAGUAAGAGCUUGCUCUUACGGGUGGCGAGUGGCGGACGGGUGAGGAAUAAAUCGGAAUCUACUUUUUCGUGGGGGAUAACGUAGGGAAACUUACGCUAAUACCGCAUACGACCUACGGGUGAAAGCAGGGGAUCUUCGGACCUUGCGCGAUUGAAUGAGCCGAUGUCGGAUUAGCUAGUUGGCGGGGUAAAGGCCCACCAAGGCGACGAUCCGUAGCUGGUCUGAGAGGAUGAUCAGCCACACUGGAACUGAGACACGGUCCAGACUCCUACGGGAGGCAGCAGUGGGGAAUAUUGGACAAUGGGCACAAGCCUGAUCCAGCCAUACCGCGUGGGUGAAGAAGGCCUUCGGGUUGUAAAGCCCUUUUGUUGGGAAAGAAAAGCAGCAGGUUAAUACCCCGCUGUUCUGACGGUACCCAAAGAAUAAGCACCGGCUAACUUCGUG
rnacentral:rRNA from 1 species